rnacentral:rRNA from 1 species
GCAAGUCGAGGGGUAACAGGGAGAGCUUGCUUUCUGCUGACGACCGGCGCACGGGUGCGUAACGCGUAUACAAUCUGCCUAUCACUGAGGGAUAGCCCGAAGAAAUUUGGAUUAAUACCUCAUAGUAUUAUAGAAUCGCAUGGUUUUAUAAUUAAAGGUUACGGUGAUAGAUGAGUAUGCGUCCUAUUAGCUAGAUGGAGAGGUAAAGGCUCCCCAUGGCUACGAUAGGUAGGGGUCCUGAGAGGGAGAUCCCCCACACUGGUACUGAGACACGGACCAGACUCCUACGGGAGGCAGCAGUGAGGAAUAUUGGACAAUGGGCGCAAGCCUGAUCCAGCCAUGCCGCGUGUAGGAAGACGGCCCUAUGGGUUGUAAACUACUUUUAUACGGGAAGAAACCUAUCCUCGUGAGGAUAGCUGACGGUACCGUAAGAAUAAGCACCGGCUAACUCCGUGCCAGCAGCCGCGGUAAUACGGAGGGUGCAAGCGUUAUCCGGAAUCAUUGGGUUUAAAGGGUCCGUAGGCGGGCUAAUAAGUCAGUGGUGAAAUGCAGGGGCUCAACUCCGGCACUGCCAUUGAUACUGUUAGUCUUGAAUUAUUGUGAAGUGGUUAGAAUAUGUAGUGUAGCGGUGAAAUGCUUAGAUAUUACAUAGAAUACCGAUUGCGAAGGCAGAUCACUAACAAUAUAUUGACGCUGAUGGACGAAAGCGUGGGUAGCGAACAGGAUUAGAUACCCUGGUAGUCCACGCCGUAAACGAUGGUUACUAGCUGUUUGGACGAAUUGACGUCUGAGUGGCCAAGCGAAAGUGAUAAGUAACCCACCUGGGGAGUACGUUCGCAAGAAUGAAACUCAAAGGAAUUGACGGGGGCCCGCACAAGCGGUGGAGCAUGUGGUUUAAUUCGAUGAUACGCGAGGAACCUUACCAGGGCUUAAAUGUAGUAUGACAGAUUUGGAAACAGAUUUUUCUUCGGACAUAUUACAAGGUGCUGCAUGGUUGUCGUCAGCUCGUGCCGUGAGGUGUCAGGUUAAGUCCUAUAACGAGCGCAACCCCUAUUGCUAGUUGCCAGCGAGUCAUGUCGGGGACUCUAGCGAGACUGCCGGUGCAAACCGUGAGGAAGGUGGGGAUGACGUCAAAUCAUCACGGCCCUUACGUCCUGGGCCACACACGUGCUACAAUGGUAGGGACAGAGAGCAGCCACCACGCGAGUGGGAGCGAAUCUAUAAACCCUAUCACAGUUCGGAUCGUAGUCUGCAACUCGACUACGUGAAGCUGGAAUCGCUAGUAAUCGCAUAUCAGCCAUGAUGCGGUGAAUACGUUCCCGGGCCUUGUACACACCGCCCGUCAAGCCAUGGAAGCUGGGGGUACCUGAAGUCGGUGACCGCAAGGAGCUGCCUAGGGUAA